rnacentral:misc_RNA from 1 species
GAUGAAGAACGCAGCGAAAUGCGAUAAGUAAUGUGAAUUGCAGAAUUCAGUGAAUCAUCGAAUCUUUGAACGCACAUUGCGCCCGCCAGCAUUCUGGCGGGCAUGCCUGUUCGAGGGUCAUUUCAACCCUCGAGCCCCCCCGGGGGCCUCGGUGUUGGGGGACGGCACACCAGCCGCCCCCGAAAUGCAGUGGCGACCCCGCCGCAGCCUCCCCUGCGUAGUAGCACACACCUCGCACCGGAGCGCGGAGGCGGUCACGCCGUAAAACGCCCAACUUUCUUAGAGUUGACCUCGGAUCAGGUAGGAAUACCCGCUGAACUUAAGCAUAUCAAUAAGCGGAGGA